UUUUUAAUGAAUUUAUAUUAAAUCAAGCCUGCUCAAUGUUUAAUAAAUAGCCGCAGAAAUUAACUGUGCUAAGGUAGCAUAAUCAUUAGUUUUUUAAUUAAAAACCAGUAUGAAAGGCCUAACACCUCAUCACCUUUUUUAAUUUUAAAUAAUAAAAAUUUUACUAAAUAUAAAAAUAUAUUUAUACCAAAAAAAGACGACAAGACCCUGUCGAACUUAACUUUAGUUGAGCUGGGGAAGCUGAUUAAUUAAAAUUUUAACAUCUAAAAAAUAGACCCAAUAAAAUUGAAUAACGGAUCAAGUUACCGCAGGGAUAACAGCGUAAUAAUUUUCUAAAGCUCUAAUUUAAAAAAAAGUUUGCGACCUCGAUGUUGAAUUAAAUAACUAUAAAACGCAAGCGUUUUAAAAGUGGGUCUGUUCGACCUUUAAAUUUUUACA
rnacentral:rRNA from 1 species